GACGAACGCUGGCGGCGUGCUUAACACAUGCAAGUCGAACGCUGAAGCUCAGCUUUUGUUGGGUGGAUGAGUGGCGAACGGGUGAGUAACACGUGAGUAACCUGCCCCCUUCUUUGGGAUAACGCCCGGAAACGGGUGCUAAUACUGGAUAUUCACUGGUCUUCGCAUGGGGGUUGGUGGAAAGGGUUUUUCUGGUGGGGGAUGGGCUCGCGGCCUAUCAGCUUGUUGGUGGGGUGAUGGCCUACCAAGGCUUUGACGGGUAGCCGGCCUGAGAGGGUGACCGGGCACAUUGGGACUGAGAUACGGCCCAGACUCCUACGGGGGGCAGCAGUGGGGAAUAUUGCACAAUGGGCGCAAGCCUGAUGCAGCGACGCCGCGUGAGGGAUGGAGGCCGUCGGGUUGUGAACCUCUUUCGCUAAUGGUCAAGCCGCAACAAUGGUUGUGGUGAGGGUAGUGGGUAAAGAAGCGCCGGCUAACUACGUG
rnacentral:rRNA from 1 species